UGGUUGUGAAUGGACAAACCAAUCAGAUCAGACUCAAAAACGUCCUUCAUGUGCCUAAGAUGAAGCAAAACCUUUUUUCGGUGAGUAAACUUGUAAUGGAAGGUUUCAAAGUUCAAUUUGACAUGAAUGGAUAUUUUGUAAGAUCAUUGAGUGGAAACAAGGUCUUCAAAGGCUUGAAAGAUUGAAAUUUGUACUACUUCAUUUGUAAGAAGGUGAAUGGAGUAGAGGUAGCUACAUUUACUGAGUUUACAUCAAACGAAGAUAAGUUGAAUAUAUGGCAUCGUCGCCUUGGCCAUUUGAAUGUGAAGAGCAUGAAAGAGCUCAAGACCAUGGUUUGUGGCUUAGAUCCUUGCAAUACAAGCCAAAA
rnacentral:lncRNA from 1 species